GUGAGGAAUAUUGCGCAAUGGAGGCAACUCUGACGCAGCCAUGCCGCGUGCAGGAAGAAGGCGCUACGCGUUGUAAACUGCUUUUAACCGGGAAGAAACCCCAGGACGUGUCCUGGGUUGACGGUACCGGAGGAAUAAGCACCGGCUAACUUCGUGCCAGCAGCCGCGGUAAUACGAAGGGUGCAAGCGUUAUCCGGAUUCAUUGGGUUUAAAGGGUGCGUAGGCGGAGCGUUAAGUCAGUGGUUAAAUCCUGCAGCUUAACUGUAGACUUGCCAUUGAUACUGGCGCUCUUGAGUGCGCUUGAAGUGGGCGGAAUGUGCCGUGUAGCGGUGAAAUGCUUAGAUAUGGCACAGAACACCAAUUGCGAAGGCAGCUCACUAAGGCGAUACUGACGCUGAGGCACGAAAGCGUGGGGAUCGAACAGGAUUAGAAACCCCUGUAGUCC
rnacentral:rRNA from 1 species